UGGGGAAUAUUGCACAAUGGGCGCAAGCCUGAUACAGCCAUGCCGCGCGUGUGAAGAAGGCCUUCGGGUUGUAAAGCACUUUCAGCGGGGAGGAAGGCGAUAAGGUUAAUAACCUUGUCGAUUGACGUUACCCGCAGAAGAAGCACUGGCUCACUCCGCGCCAGCAGCCGCGGUAAUACGGAGGGUGCAAGCGUUAAUCGGAAUUACUGGGCGUAAAGCGCACGCAGGCGGUCUGUCAAGUCGGAUGUGAAAUCCCUGGGCUCAACCUGGGAACUGCAUACGAAACUGUCAGGCUAGAGUCUUGUAGAGGGAGGUAUAGUACCAGGUGUAGCGGUGAAAUGAGUAGAGAUGUGGAGGAAAACCGGUGGCGAAGGCGGCCCCAUGGACAAAGACUGACGCUCAGGUGCGAAAGCGUGGGGAGCAAACAGG
rnacentral:rRNA from 1 species